rnacentral:miRNA from 8 species
CCUAUUCUUGGUUACUUGUUUC